ensembl:lncRNA
GGUCACAAAGAGUCCGACAUGACUGAAUGACUGAACUGAACUGAACUGAUGGGAAGCUGUGGUCUGGUUGAGUGUGACGCUUCUCUCUGGAAUAGAUGACCCCAGCUGCAGAGUGAACUGAAUACUGGAUGGAGAUCUAUUCCAUCUACCGGAAGAGAGCUGUUCAUCCCGAGUCCCACCGGGGCUGUUGGCCAAGAGCAGCGAUGUUGUCAUUUGAGGUUGACCCUUGCAGGGCCCCCGCAGCUGCUGUCUUGUGCCAGCCCUUCCUGCUGAAAGAUGGAGGUGCCAUGAUGUUAAAUCAAUGUGGUGAGUGAUGUGGCCGUUUGAGACGAAGCUAAACAUAGCUUCCUUUGAUUUUUCACCUUUUUCUUUUUUUUCUCUGGCUGGACACCACUUUAAAAGAAGAAUCACCUCUGGAUAAAGCACCUCUUCAGGUCUGCCAGUCUAAGCAAAUGACAUUAUCUUAAGAGGAUCAGAAGGGCCCGAAAGUUGACUGUGUUCAUUGAGGGCUCCACGUAAAAUUUUUAUUGAAGGAGAAAAAGACUCCUUCUGAAACCUGUAAAGUAGCAAAAGCAAGCACUUGCAGUAGAGAUAUUCAGAAGCCCNNNNNNNNNNNNNNNNNNNNNNNNNNNNNNNNNNNNNNNNNNNNNNUCCAAGCUGUCAAAGAAUAACAUGUAUUUGAGCUGAAUAAUAGGCUCAAUUUUAUUUUUGAUAAUUUGAGAAGUGGAUGUAUCUGUUGUCUGCUGCUGUGUAACAAACCACCCCAAAAUUUAGUGGCUCAGAAUGAGGACCAUUUAUUGAGGACAGGAUUUUGGGGGGUGGGCAGUUUAGACUGGGCUCAGCUGUGAAGCUCUUCUAGUCUCCACUGAAAAUUUUUAAUACCUGUUGGCCACUGCCAGUCAGCUGGUUAGCACUGCAUCUGGGAAUUGCCAGGGCCAGUGGGGUGAAUGAGCGACACGUCUCCCAGCAACCAGAAGGCUAGCUUCAGCUGGUCCAGGUGGCCACUGGGCAGGGUUCCUAGAGGGGAAGCUUAAGCACCUCUUGAGAUGUGUCUCAGAAUUGGCACAGCAGCCUUUCAGGCAAAGGACGUCCCAGGUCAGCUCAGAUUCAAGGGGUGAAAAAAAAUAAGAGUCUUCAUCGGCAUGAGGAGCUAACUGCAAAGGCAGACUGUGAAGGAGACAGAAUUGGGGCCCUUUUGCUACCCGUCAUUUAUCUGCAUCAUUUUUAUCCUAUUCGAGACACAUAUUGGCAGAUACAAUGCGUAAUGUUUGAACAAUACUUUUGGAAAAGGAACUAUCUUUAUUUUUAGCUUUGAUGGCGGUUUCCAACUAGGAGCUCCCUCACAGCAACCAGUUAGGAGGAGACUGUAUUGACAAGAUAUUUUUAACUUCUUUCUUGUUUCUGUAAGCAUAAACAAAAUCCCCAUGUUCUCCGAAGUUGUUGGUCUAGGUGUGCAUGACGUAACCGGUCACAGACAAAGCAGGAUUUCUUAAUGGCAAGGGACACUACCUAGCUGCUGGCUUGGAAAUCCUUUAUAAAGAGUUCAGAAUUGCCAUUGGGAAAAGGGCAUUUACUUGACAAAUGGUGCUAUUUCCAUUUUUGUCUGCCCGAUUUUAAAUUUCCUCUUACUAAAAUGGCAAAUUCAGGCCCCAGAAUGAAUUGAACAAAUGAAAUACAUAACUGGGAGACGCACACUCCACCACUUCACU